CCAGUGAGCAGAUCUAAGUUUCUGUAGCGCAGCUCCCGACACGAUUGCAGCACUAAAAACAAUCUGUUGAAGGGGAUUUCAUCAAGGUUUUCUACCAGAGAGGACAGAUGUGGAAAGAGGGAUAGCACGUUGAUGUCCAGCAGUGGUUUGGAGUAGAAGCCCAUUGUGGCCAUCGUGGAGAUCAUGUACUGAGAGUUAGGAAGGCUGAACUCGUCUGUCAUUGAUAAAGCCUUUCUCUGGAGGAUUACAUGUGCAAGACAAGUGUCACAAUGCAACAGAUUCGGCUACAGGUUCAGCGGGGCAUCCUUCCCCAGCAUUCGCAUCAUGGUCUGGAGAGAAAUAACUUUCUUGAUCCCUGGAAGGCUGGCCUCAACUACCAGCCUAGGACACGAAACCACAAUAGAGAAUGUAAAUUAAUCUGAGAAAGAAGUGACAGGAGGCCAAGAUGGACAAGCUCUUCUCAUCAAAGCGAUUCAGUUUCUCCUGUUAGUGGACAAUAAAACACAUUUGGAUAAACAAAGAUCCUAAAAUAUUACUAAUAACAAAACAUCUUGCUG